UACAGAGGGCUCAAGCGUUGUCCGGAAUCACUGGGCGUAAAGCGUGCGUAGGCGGCUUAGCAAGUCGGGCGUGAAAUCCCCGGGCUCAACCUGGGAAUGGCACUCGAUACUACUAAGCUAGAGUGUGGUAGAGGGAAGUGGAAUUCCCGGUGUAGCGGUGAAAUGCGUAGAUAUCGGGAGGAACAUCAGUGGCGAAGGCGACUUCCUGGACCAACACUGACGCUGAGGCACGAAAGCGUGGGGAGCAAACAGG
rnacentral:rRNA from 1 species